GCGCAUAUGAUGCAGUGGUUAGCAUGUCUGCUUCCCAAGCAGGAUACCCGGGUUCGAAUCCCGGUUUGCGCA